CCUCCUGGAACGAAACCAAAAUAAAAUUAUAUUAGAAACAAAACAUAAUAGAUAGUCAGCAUUUCGUGCGUAACAGAGGACAGGAAGACCGAUAACGAAAAGGUACGCCCCUGUGAAUAUAUCGGUUCACAGUGCUACUACUUAGCAUGCCAGGUCAAAAUGCUUCCUCGACUGAAGAAAAAAUAUGCUUGGGUCCUAAUUAUAUCAGCUUUGUUUUUAGUUGCAUUAACGAUUAAAUCGUAAGUAAAACAAAUUUUCUGCUGCAAUAUUCUUAUCAAUUUUUCAAGAAAUCCGCUUUUAAUUGAAGGAGGCACCAAAAAGCAGUGCAAAGCGAAGGAAAACAUUUUCUUCCUGAACCCCCAUAAGACCUUUGGCAAUGUUGUUCAACGUGUUUUGAUGAGAAAGGCAUUCAACAAAAAUUUAAACUCUAUCUUCCCUUCAUCAAUUGACGGAGUUAAAGAUUGUAAUUAAAGAAUUAUAAAAUUCAAACUCUAAUAUUUUAGUAAUUUUCAUAAUCAGGCAGGAUAACUGGUGGUCCACUGAAUCGUAAAAAUUUAGAGGAUAGCGGGUUAAUUGACCAAAGCGAAGAUUUCAACAUAGUUGUACCUGACUCGUGCUUUAGACUUGACUUGGCGAAUAAACGAGACUUAAUGCCGGAAGACAUGAAAAAAAUCACUAUUUUGAGAGAGCCCGCAGAUCUGUUUGAGACCUUGUUGGAGGACUACGGCCUUGCAUCAAAAUGGUUCAAAAACGGAAGUUCAACAUUAAGAACCCUCCAAUCUAUGAGUACAGGGGACUUAUUGAACUUUUUAAACUUACAAGGAAGACACGAAAACAUAAUCGGACGAAACCAGAUGACUUUCGACUUCGGUUUUGAGCCUAAUGUAAACAUAACUGACAUCAGAAUCGACCAGAUGCUUUACAUGAUCGAGCAUGAAUUUGACCUAGUGAUGCUGGCGGAAUAUAUGGAAAUAUCAAUGGUGUUGCUUGCUGAUCUAAUGUGCUGGCCGCUUGAGGAAGUUGUUUUUAUGCCAAUCAACCGCGAGCAAAGGAAUAAAGCCUUGACAAGAGCCCACAAGAAGAAAUUGCAUUUUAUCAACAGUGCUGACUUAAAGCUCUACGAAUAUUUUGAGCUCAAUUUGCGAUUGAAAGCGAGAGAAUAUGGAUUGGCAAGAAUGAGGGCAGAUGUUGACCGCCUUGUUAGAUUGAAUAAUGAAUCGUUAAUACGUUGCGGAUACUUCGAUGAAGAAACACAGUCUAAUGAGACACCUCUCGUGCGCCAAAACGCCCCUCAGGAUUGCAAUCUUUUCGAAUUGGACGAGUUAAAAUUCUCUGAUCUACUCAAGAAAAAACAGAAAGAUAAAUUUAAGAAUCGACACAAAAUUAAAAGGAUUAAAAGCUUGAUGAAAAAAUAUUAAGUACAUACAUAAUAAAAUACAUUUUAAGAUGUUUUUGCUGCUCUGCUUCUCAAAUUUUUGUCUUUUGCAUAAAAGUAUAAAAAAACCAAAUUCAAACCAGAGAUGAUUAUUUACUAGAAGAUUGCAUCAUACAAAAUUUUCAACCAUUGCCAUUAUUUGUCAAGUUGCUUAACUUAUCAAAACGCAAACCUCACUAACAUAAUUGUUUAGAUAAAAAAAAGGAAACAACCUCUAGAAAAAAUUCCCUUUGAUUUAGAUUUGGCGAGAUUUAAUCUCUCUCAGAUUAAGCAUUCAACUGAAAUCGCAAGUAUGCAAUUUAACAGCAGUUUUUGUUCUUACUUUCGCACUAUGGAAGCUUAUUAUACUCUCCCGGCGCAUAACACAUAAUAUAACGGUGGGAGUUUUCCUAUUUUAAUUACCACCGACAUUAUGAAACAGCACGAGACGCUCUCACGAACUCACUUGCGCCCAAAUUGAAUCCCUACUUGACAAUGACUGACGAGAAAUGGGACAGUAACUUGUGCUUUUAUUGCAACAAAGUCACUCACAAUCAGCUCAUUUUUGGGAUGCGUGAUUCACUUAAAAAUUGAUGUCACCGUUUCCGCUUGUGGCUCGUUUCGAAUUGAAAAACUGACCAUGACACGCGAAAAAAGGCGUUCAAUUUGAAUAUGAUUUAGCAAGAUGUGCUGAAAUGAGGUGCCAAUUUGGCCGCGAGGAUUUCGUGUCAGGUAAUAAUACCUGAUUGGAGCCACAGGAAGUAAUAAAACUGGUUUGGAUAAGAACAGGAGAGCGACUCGCCUGCCAGCGUUUCCUACUCAAUCUCCAUUCAAAGCAAUGCAGAAAAAUUUACAUUUCUCCAUCGGGCAGAAACACGCUCUUUCUCGGAAAUGAGUCAUUAUUUUGAAGAUGCUGUCGGAAGUCCUCACAAAGAGAUUUCUUUAUUAUUUUCUACUAACCAACACUGUUUAUUGCCUCUGUUGCAAGAUUUGCUAGUCUAAAAUGAUGCCAUGGCAGUAGCAAAACACUAAUGGAACACUCGAAAUUGGAAUAUUUAUGUUAAUGAAUCGGGUUGCAGUUAAUUUUUCUGUGCACCUGAUUUAAGUACUAUUACUAUGUAAUUUUUAGACUUUUGA